GUGCUCGCUUUGGCAGCAUAUAUCCUAAAAUUGGAAUGAUACAGAGAAAAUUAGCAUAGCACUGUGCAAGGAUGACACACAAAUUCAUGAAGUGUUCCCUAUUUAA
rnacentral:snRNA from 1 species